GUACGGCGAGUGAAGCGGCAACAGCUCAAAUUUGAAAUCUGGCUUCGGCCCGAGUUGUAAUUUGCAGAGGAAGCUUUAGGCGCGGCACCAACUGAGUCCCCUGGAACGGGGCGCCACAGAGGGUGAGAGCCCCGUAUAGUUGGACGCCUAGCCUGUGUAAAGCUCCUUCGACGAGUCGAGUAGUUUGGGAAUGCUGCUCAAAAUGGGAGGUAAAUUUCUUCUAAAGCUAAAUACCGGCCAGAGACCGAUAGCGCACAAGUAGAGUGAUCGAAAGAUGAAAAGCACUUUGAAAAGAGGGUUAAAUAGCACGUGAAAUUGUUGAAAGGGAAGCGCUUGUGACCAGACUUGCGCCCGGCUGAUCAUCCGGUGUUCUCACCGGUGCACUCUGCCGGGCUCAGGCCAGCAUCGGUUCUCGCGGGGGGAUAAAGGCCCUGGGAACGUAGCUCCUCCGGGAGUGUUAUAGCCCAGGGUGUAAUGCCCUCGCGGGGACCGAGGUUCGCGCAUCUGCAAGGAUGCUGGCGUAAUGGUCAUCAGCGACCCGUCUUGAACCCCCGGAC
rnacentral:rRNA from 1 species